GUUAAGUAAGGGCGUAUGGCGGAUGCCUAGGCUCUCAGAGGCGAAGAAGGACGUGAUAAGCUGCGAAAAGUUACGGGGAGAAGCACAUAUUUUAUGAUCCGUAAAUAUCCGAAUGGGGCAACCCACUAUACUGAAGGUAUAGUAUGCGAAAGCAGGCAAACCCGGUGAACUGAAACAUCUCAGUAACCGGAGGAAGAGAAAACAAUAGUGAUUCCGUUAGUAGUGGCGAGCGAACGCGGAUUAGCCCAAACCAAUAUUGUUACGGCAAUAUUGGGGUUGUAGGGCUGCGACAUUAGAAUCUUAGUGAACUAGAAUCGUUUGGAAAGACGAACCAAAGAGAGUGAUAGUCUCGUAUAGGUAAGCGAAGAGGAUAUAGCAGUACCCUGAGUAGUGCGGGACACGUGUAAUCCUGUAUGAAUCUACCGGGACCAUCCGGUAAGGCUAAAUACUCCUGAAACACCGAUAGCGAACUAGUACCGUGAGGGAAAGGUGAAAAGCACCCCAA
rnacentral:rRNA from 14 species